rnacentral:rRNA from 1 species
UACGUAGGGGGCAAGCGUUGUCCGGAUUUAUUGGGCGUAAAGAGCGUGUAGGCGGCUUGGUAGGUCUUGCGUCAAAACCUGAGGCUCAACCUCAGUUCGCGUGGGAAACCAUCUAGCUAGAGUCCGGAAGAGGAGAACGGAAUUCCCAGUGUAGCGGUGAAAUGCGCAGAUAUCAGGAGGAACACCGGUGGCGAAGGCGGAUCUCUGGGCCUUACCUGACGCUGAGGAGCGAAAGCAUGGGGAGCAAACAGG